rnacentral:rRNA from 1 species
UACGGAGGGGGCGAGCGUUGUCCGGAAUGACUGGGCGUAAAGGGUGUGUAGGCGGUUUAUUAAGUUAGAAGUGAAAUACCCAGGGCUUAACUCGGGUGCUGCUUCUAAAACUGUAUGACUUGAGUGCAGUAGAGGUUAGUGGAAUUCCUAGUGUAGCGGUGGAAUGCGUAGAUAUUAGGAGGAACACCAGAGGCGAAGGCGGCUUACUGGACUGUAAAUGACGCUGAGGCUCGAAAGCGUGGGGAGCAAACAGG